AAACAUAAUUUCAACUUCAUUUUUCUACAUAUGAAUAUAUUUUAGCACAGAGGCCAUCGCAGUUUGUAACACAGUAAUGUGAGCUUGCUCCAAAGCCCAUCAAAAUGAAUGAGCUUAUUUCAUGGACUUCAAUGAGUUUUGGAUGAGGCGUUGAGAGGAAGACAUGGGGUUUUGUACAAAAUUACUUGUUUUUCACUGUUUUUGUAUAGAAGUGGAAAUAAUCAAGUCUGAGUUUUUCACAUUGAUUUCAGCGGGAUAAAUCUUAGUAGGUGUAAUGAGAGCUGUUUUAACUAUUUUCUUUCCCUUCCAAAGAGGUAUUUGUUUUUGUUGUUAAACUCAUUUUAUAUCAAUCUUCCACUACGCUGGAACUGUUCUACGUUCAAAACGUCUAUUGGUUGAGACUCCUCCUCCUAAAAGCAAGCUAUUUUUAAUUGUACGCUCAAGUAAAACCACUUAUUAGUUCUAAGUAUUCUUGAUAGCAUGCAAAGACACAAUUGUUAUUACUCAGAUCACUUCCUUAAUAGUGGCCAAGGCAAAAACUUCUGCAGAUUAGCAACUCUCAUCCUGCUUUAAUACCAUUUUAUUCUUCUCCAACAGCCAAGGAUAAAUACAGUUUUUGUUUUCUUAAAUAUAGCUUGUGGUGAUACUCACCCUUCCCUCUUUUACGUAUAGUCUUACGAUAUGAAGGAUCUUCUUUUUUUGAGAGAAGCAUUGUCGCAACUAAAAUAGGCCUCUAGCAUAAUGAAGAGACAUAACCUACUGACUUUUUUUUUGCCUUCAUAGGGGAAAGCUGCCUUAUGGGGAAUAAUGGGUGAAUUCUAAGCGACUUUUCAGAGACUCACCUGCAGUCUGAAUCCUUCUGAGAAGCAGUAAUUUUCAGACCUAGGAGUCCACAUACUACAGGACAAAUUUGAUACCUAGCUUUCUACCACAUAAGUUUACAAAAAGGGAAGAGCCUUUUGAAUCUACAUCCCAUUUAACAAGCUGUUUGCAUUUCAGAGUAGAUGGCUUUCUAUUGUGUCCCUAAAUAAUAACAUAACAUUGAGUUUGUUGCAAGUCCACUUACCACCUCACUUUUGAGGACAACAAGUUUUCUGAUGGCUCUUGCAUUAGAAACCCUUUUCUAAUUGCACGUCUGGAGUCAUGACUUCUCACCCUGUCUUUGGGACAGCCAGAUUUAAAAAGUCAGACUUGUUACUUCUAUAAUUUUAAAAAGUCACUAGUGAUUUGGUUUUGAAGACUUGAUUUUGUCAAAUUGUUCUGUUACUCUUUAAGCGCAACUCCUGAAAACCAAAAUAAGCUGUUUAAGAACUGCAUGUAACAAUCUCACAAGGAAGCAUAAAGCAAGGCUGUAGCUCUGAGAUGUAGAAGUUAGCCAGAAUCUUCUUUUUUUAAAAAAAUAAUUCAAAAUACUUGCAAAUUUACAGUUAUGCACUCCAAGAGCCUGCAAAGGAAUAAGAUGAGUGUUCCUGCCCUGAUAAAUCACCCACCACAGCAUUAUUUAUUUAUUUUUAAAUUGUACAUGGGAGCCAUUGUUUUAAAAAUUCAAGCUGGCAGCAUUGCUCAUGUUUCAGGAGACGUUGAAAUUGUUACUUCAUAAAUCACUAUCUGGAGCUGAAUAUAUAUAUAUUUUUAUGUGUUAAAAAAUACUGCCUUUUUCCUGUAUAACCCCAGUUUGUAACUUUUGUAUGAGGAACAUGGAGAUUAUUUUUGAACCAUGCAUGACCAAUUUUGUACUGAUCCCCCUUUAGAACUUACUCUGCAGCUGACUGAACAUCAGUCAACUAGAGAACACACACUAGCAGACUACCAAAAUAUGGUUAGUGGAGGCCCUUGAUGUAAUUCCUAGGACCCCGGUGGUCAAAAACUCUUAACUCCAUGUUUAAGAACGUGGCAGCAUAGUGACUAUUUUGGCAUCUUGCAGCUAUAGGAGAGGAAGAGAUCUUCUUGGAAUAUCCUCUGCAGCAGGAUGAGCUUCUGUAGCUUGUAGUUUCUAAGCAAAGAUUGGCUCUUUUUGGAGCUUCUACUAGCUUAAGUAAAUUAUAUACAUCAACACAAGUCUCAUUAGUGGGUAUUCAAAACUUAAUGACAUUACCAAUUUUUUUUCUGUACAGUCAGUGUUACAGUUUAUUUCAGAUUUGGAACAAUCAUUUAGUAAUUCAGAUGCUCUUGCAGUGACACUUUAAAAAAUAAAAAGCUAGUUUUAAAAAGCCAGCUUUUUUUUACAAGCUGCAUCCCACUCACCUGCUACAACAGCUUCAGAUGUCUUGCUUAAAUGAACAUAGUUUAGUUUUGGAACAACCUUUUUUCGUAAGAGUUCAGAUUUUAGAUAUUUGCAAGGGCUUUAACCUUAUACUAACUUGUCUUAAAUGUAUAUGAAGGAAAUGUUACACCAUUUGCCUUUAUUUUUCUUGUCUUUUAUUAGACUUCGUAACCUAGAGAAGUAAUGUGGCAAAGGCAUUUUGAACUGUCGUAUUAAAACUCUCUCACUAUUCAGCACACUUACUCAUUAUAGCACUAUUGAUCAGUCUGAUCUGUUUAUACCAUCAAUUUUUAAAAUAAACUGCUACAACCAGAAGAUGGUUAUGAAGAAUUGGGGGGAGGAGGAGGAAGUAUUUAGUUUUUAAUUGUGGUAUGGUAUUAGAAACCUAAUAUUUACUGUGAAUAACUUAGUAUUUAUAUUGCUACAGAAAAAGGAAUCCAAUUGAUUCUAGACCACAUUUUGUAGCAGUGUACACUGCAAAAAUGGAGACCUAUUUACAGGAGUUGAGAUGGAGUUGAGUGGUCAAAGUGGGUGAGUGGUAUUUCAAUGAGGGAUGGUGCUCUCAAUGGAUGAACCUCAUUUCUGGCAUUUGCUUCUCCCCUCUAAUCCAACAGAGCCUGAGGUUUAUUGAUCUUCUUUUUAUAGGGUUGUCUUUUUAUUUAGAACAAGUCUCUUUAAAAUGAUGACAAAAACAGAAUAAAUGAGUUUGGGAUACCAACUGAAUAGUGUUACCUGCCUCUGAUAAGGAGCAGCUCACAGACUGUCUCUUUAUUUAAAGCAUGACUCCUUUUUAGUUACCUUUUGACCUUCAGAUUUCCUCUGUCUGCACCUCCACAGAAAUAAAAUUGUUUUGGCAUUAUUUCACUGUGCAGCUUUAUCACAGUACAGAUGCUAGUUUGCUUUUGUUUAAAACUUGUUACUGUAAGUAUCUUAACUAUUGAGAGUAACUUUUUAAUUUAGAAUGUUAACGUAUUGAACAAUUUGGUGUGGCAAAGCUUCUAAUCAGUAGCUAGCAGGACACCGGUAUUUUUGUCAGAUUUUAUUGGGGUAAGGUAGCUAACUGCCUUUUUUUAUUUCGCACACUGUUUAACAAUAAAAGUAAAUCUUUAGAAAGAUGACGUUCAACAGUGCAGAAUAGUGUGGCGUUUUGUUUUUCCUUUAGUCUGUUUCACAAUAUCCAGAUUGACAUUUAAUUGCAGAAUUCCAGGUGCCUUGGCUUUUCACACCUGAAUAGUCACUUUUUCAGCCAACCAAAUAGACUUGGGGACAUCCGAAAUAAAGGAUACUGUAUAUAGAAUAUUUCAAUUGGGUAUAAAAUGCUAGUAGUAUUUCCUGCUCUGUUUUCCCCCUAACAUUUCACAAAGGAUUCUGCAAGAGACUAGAAAUCUGGGAGUCUGGAUUUACCUUUUGUGUUUUUUUUUUUUUUUUACACUCCCAUCUUAAUUACACCCUUAAAUAGGAUGCCAGCAUAAUUCAGGCUUUCUUCAAGUUGGAGUCUGUUGCAUGGACAUGGCUGCCAAUCUUCAGAAUGGGAUGUGAGCUUCCCUUGUCAGCUGGUUCCAGAUGACUUGCCUGUAUAAGAAUUCUCUGGAAGUUCUGCUUCUGUCUGAUGUGCAUCAGUUCAGAGACUUCUGCUACUAUGUGAUUCUAAUCUGGAUGGGUUUUUGAACCUUGAGAUGACGAAUGGCGCAGUGAGCAAUUCUGGCACUUGAAGGGCACAUCUUGCUCAUGGAAAAUCAGCAAGCUCAGGAUGGAAACUGGUUUCUGUCACUUUGUCUAUCCAGAAUUAUUGGUACCCUCAUGAGGUUGCUGUGUACUGUGGUGUUCUGUAUAAACAUCUUGCCUUCGGCCCAUGAGGACUCUUCAAGUUUGAUUCUCAGAAGCUGGCCACACAGCUCCCUGAAGGAAAAAAAGCUAAAGAUUCCACCAAGAGAGAUGCAUGUGAGUCUAUGCAAUUUGAGUGCAAAGGGGACCACAAGUCAAAAUUUGUCUCCUGUUACCCCGAGUUUGGAACUAUCAGAUCAUAAAAGACCUACAGUCUUGCCUGGACUAAGCACAUUUCUUCAUCCAUGUCAAAAUCUUGACUAUAGAAUAGUAAAUAAACAGCAGAAUCCUGGGGGCUCUUUUCUUUAGAGACACCACAAUCCUUCUCCAGUGGAUUCAGUUGCUUGCUUUUAUCCAAGAAGGCUCACACUUGGCUCCGCAAUAGCGUGGCUAAGCAGUCUGCAGCUUCACCUGGGAGUAAGUGUCUCAAUGAAUUUUUCACUUUAGUGUCCCAGUGGUGUGUUCCCAAGUUUUGGAUCUCUGUGUGUCAAAGAUCAAUGCGAAGAUGUAAUUUUUCAAGGACAAGAAUGCCAGAGAGUUGGUGUCCUGUUAACCAUGUCUAAGCUACCGCCUGUAUGCCUGCUUUUUUCCUUCCUCAAGCCAAGGAUCUCCCCAGAAUCCAAGUGCACAGAACUAUUCACUGAUCCCCAUGCAGGAGGAUGUGGUGGUAUUCUGUAAUGGAGAAUUUCAGAGACCACCUCUACCAUCGUACUGCUGCACCUUCUGUGUUUGGGUUCCACCCCUGCAACCAAACCCA